rnacentral:rRNA from 1 species
UACGAAGGUGGCAAGCGUUGUUCGGAUUCACUGGGCGUAAAGAGCUCGUAGGCGGCUUGGCAAGUCGGGUGUGAAAACUUCAGGCUCAACCUGGAGCCGCCACUCGAUACUGCUCUGACUUGAGUUCGGUAGGGGAGCAGGGAAUUCCUAGUGUAGCGGUGAAAUGCGCAGAUAUCUGGAGGAACACCGGUGGCGAAGGCGGCAUCCUGGACCGACACUGACGCUGAGGAGCGAAAGCCAGGGGAGCAAACGGG